UACUACCUGGGCCUGGUGCAGUGGGUGAUUCAGAAGCUACCAGACAUUGGAGCUUGCAACUGGAGUCUCAACCCACGAGUGCCGGUCUUAAAACAAAGGCUCACUACUGCCUUCAAGGAUUCCAGAGGAAAGUACACCUUCUGGAUGGCAUGUCUGCAGCCUGAGUACAUUGUUGACCUCCUCCUGCUCAGGCCACUCCCUGGAGUUGAUACCCUGAGGCACCAACUUAGGGAGCAGGCAUGCCCAGCAGCCAGGCUUCCCUUGGACUUUCCCUUUGACUCUGUUUGGACUCUUCCUGACUCCUCCCACAUUGUUUAUGUUAUGCAAAUGUCAUUGUAACCUAGAGAUCCGGUUUGUCCUUCUUGUAUAAAUGCUAAGCCCCAAAAGUAAAAUGAAAAGCCUUGAUUGGAAACCCUCAA